rnacentral:rRNA from 1 species
GGGAUUAGUGGCGGACGGGUGAGUAACACGUGGGAACGUGCCCUUUGGUUCGGAACAACUCAGGGAAACUUGAGCUAAUACCGGAUGUGCCCUUCGGGGGAAAGAUUUAUCGCCAUUGGAGCGGCCCGCGUCUGAUUAGCUAGUUGGUGAGGUAAAGGCUCACCAAGGCGACGAUCAGUAGCUGGUCUGAGAGGAUGAUCAGCCACAUUGGGACUGAGACACGGCCCAAACUCCUACGGGAGGCAGCAGUGGGGAAUCUUGCGCAAUGGGCGAAAGCCUGACGCAGCCAUGCCGCGUGAAUGAUGAAGGUCUUAGGAUUGUAAAAUUCUUUCACCGGGGACGAUAAUGACGGUACCCGGAGAAGAAGCCCCGGCUAACUUCGUGCCAGCAGCCGCGGUAAUACGAAGGGGGCUAGCGUUGCUCGGAAUUACUGGGCGUAAAGGGAGCGUAGGCGGACUGUUAAGUUAGAGGUGAAAGCCCGGGGCUCAACCUUGGAAUUGCCUUUGAUACUGGCAGUCUUGAGUACGGAGAGGUAUGAGGAACUCCGAGUGGACACGUGAAAUUCGUAAAUAUGCGGAAGACACAGAUGGCGAAU